ensembl:lincRNA
AGGUGUUCUUCUGGAAAGGAGACUUGCCCCCCAGUGCUACUUACGCGCAGAGUCAAGAAAAAUGUUUUCUCGCCGAGCGCGCGUUCAUUCACAGAAUGCUCUCGCCUCACUGCGCGAUUGCGUUCUCGGUUCGCUGGUCUACAGCGAAAAAACCCUAAGCGUGAACUCGGCCUGGGCAACGAUGAGUCCAAAACCCUUGGCCUUUUGCAUGAGGGGUGUAGGGCCAGACCAGGAGGCGGACAAAGCCAAGCAAAUCCGGAGCUCCGGGACAGAGCAGACUUUUGCACCUCUCGGGGAAGCAUGUCCUCCGGCCAGCGGACCCCGGCUCCGCGCCCAGGCGGGCGGCGCAGAUUUUUGAUGGGAGCUGUGACUUUAACUUCUUUAAGAAGAAGGAGAAAGAGCAACUGAAGAGACAAUGACAGGAAUUGGAUAUGGCUCAAAGGACUGAGCUUCCGCCUACCAUAUAGGAGGUCCAGGGUUCGAUACCCAGGGCCUCCUGGCCUGUGUGGUGAGCUGGCCCAUGUGGAGUGCUGCCAUGAGCAAGGGGUGUCACCCCACACAGGGGUACCCUGUGCGCAAGGAGCGGCCCCCACGCAAGGAGUGCUGCCCUGUGCAGGAGGGCAGACCACCCAGGAGUGGAGCUGCCCACAUGGAGAGCUGAUGCAACAAGAUGACACACACACAAAAAGAGACACAGAGAAUAUGAUUCACAGUGAACUAGGGAGCUGAGGUGGAGCAAGAGAAUAAUCACCUCUCUCCCACUCUGGAAUGUCCCAUGAUGGUUCAAGAUGGGUUCCCAGAGCUGCCUAAUGAGAAUACAACAGACACAGACGAACACACAGCAAAUGUACACAGAGAGAAGACAACAAUGGGGGUGGGGAGAAAUAAGGAAAGAGAAAAAAAAAAAAGAGACAAUGACAAUUAAAUGCAGUUAAGUGUCCUGGAUGGAAUCUAACAGUGAAGGAGAAAGGGCUUAAAGGGACAUUACUGGGACAUAUGAAAAACUAGAAUCUAUACUGUAAGCUUUAUAUCAAUGUUAAAUUUCCUAAACAUGAUAACUGUACUUAUGGUGCCUACGUAAGUGAACACCCUUGUUCUUAGGAAUGUGCAAAGACAUGUUAUGUGUUCAAAGAACAUGAUGUAUACAACUUGUUCUCAAAUGUUCAGAAAAUAGAUGUAGAUGGGUAGGUAAGAGAUAGGUAGAUUGACUGAUAGGUGAAUGGAAAGAAUGAUAAGGCGAAUGUGACAACAUGUCAAAAUUGGUGGAUCUGAGUAUUGGUGGGGGGAGGGCUGGGGAUAUAUUGGAGUCCUUGGUAUGGGAUUUAUAUUAUUUUUGUAGCUGUCUUAUAAGUAUGAAAUUAUUUCAAAAUAAAAAAAGCUAAAGAAAAAUUUGGUAUAAUGGUUCCCUAAUGUCUUCCCCCCAAAACUACAAAUUUUCUUCUUGGCAUUCAAGGUCUCCAAGACCUGGUCCCAUUCACCUGUACACUUGUAUCUUCAGUGGCCUCCAACACUACCCCUCUACGCCAGUCUGUCUGGUCUCUUCAUUAUCCUCUACCCUCAAGAAGUUACAUUCACACCUUAGGGUUUUGCUUUCAGGUACUUCCUAUCUGGAAUUCCCUCCCUAACAUUUACCC